GCGAAUGCAGCUGAAGUGGUUCCCCUUCAGGCUCAGGAAGUGUCGGCUCGGCUUGCUGGCCCGGUGGAAGCCGCAAGGCGCUGYCGGUUGGACGGCCGAUCGACUGAUCUGCACUCCUGGGGGGAGCCGGCCAACAACAGUUGCCCCUGGCUCACGAGGGCGGUUGGGCAGGUAGCCUCCUCUUCGAGGUGGAACUUACAGCCAUCCGUCUGGCAGUCUGGGGACGACUGAGGAGAGUUGCGAACUUUCGCACGUGCGGCGCAGGCCCUCCGGGGCCGGACCGCCUCUUUCCGUUUGGGCGCCGCUGUGGGGACUGCUUGCAGUGUCCGCUGACGAACGUCUGCUCGGUGGGGGGACUGGUCACGCCUU
rnacentral:misc_RNA from 1 species